GGAUUAGAUACCCUGGUAGUCCACGCCGUAAACGAUGGUCACUAGCUGUUCGACUAACAAUGGUUAGUUGAGUGGCUAAGCGAAAGUGAUAAGUAAUCCACCUGGGGAGUACGCCCGCAAGGGUGAAACUCAAAGGAAUUGACGGGGGCCCGCACAAGCGGUGGAGCAUGUGGUUUAAUUCGAUGAUACGCGAGGAACCUUACCAGGGUUUAAAUGUAGAAUGACCGGGGUGGAAACACCCCUUUCUUCGGACAGACUACAAGGUGCUGCAUGGUUGUCGUAGCUCGUGUCG
rnacentral:rRNA from 1 species